rnacentral:lncRNA from 1 species
GAAAUUUUGCAGGGCAAGGUUGCUGAAUUCUUUUUUGUUUGAGUAGACAACAGGGUAUGAGGUUUUCUCCAGGGCAACAAGUUCAAUUGAAUAAAUGCAUGGCCAUGGUGUAUUUUGUGUGUUUUCUUGAGCAGAAUUGCAAGGCAAUGGCUUGGUGAAUUGUGGGCUUGGACGUUGAUGGAUAUAAUGGUUGGACUUAUCAAUUAGUUUGUAAGGUUGAAUGUAAUGUGAAUAGGAUUAUGAUGGAAAUUUUAAUGAAUUGGAUGUUUAUUGUAUUUAAUGUAUCAAAAUGUGUAUUGAUAUGAAUCAUGAACAAGUUAAUUGACUUGAAUGUGCAUUGAAUGUUAUGUAAAGGAAUGCUUUUGAAUGUCAAGAUUGUCAUGUAAUGAAUUGAAUUGGUAUGGAAAGUGUAUUAUGAAAUCAAAUGGUUUAUGGAAU